rnacentral:rRNA from 1 species
CUCGAUAAUAGAUAUCUCAGCUCUAGCAUUAAUGAAGAACGUAGUGAAAUGCGAUACUUGGUGUGAAUUGCAGAAUCCCGUGAACCAUCAAGUUUUUGAACGCAAGUUGCACCCGAAGCCUUCUGGCUGAGGGCACAUCUUCCUGGGCAUAACC